UACGGGGGGGGCAAGCGUUGUUCGGAAUCAUUGGGCGUAAAGAGCGUGUAGGCGGCCCGGUAAGUCCGCUGUAAAAGUCAAAGGCUUAACCUUUGAAUGUCAGUGGAUACUGCCGGGCUAGAGUCCGGAAGAGGCGAGUGGAACUCCUGGUGUAGCGGUGGAAUGCGCAGAUAUCAGGAAGAACACCAACGGCGAAGGCAGCUCGCUAGGACGGUACUGACGCUGAGACGCGAAAGCGUGGGGAGCGAACAGG
rnacentral:rRNA from 1 species